rnacentral:misc_RNA from 1 species
UCUCAUGUAUGUAUCCUUGUGCAAUUAGAUUCGAAGAUUGGAUCUUUGGUGGACCAUUUCUCUUCAAGAUAUUUUCUCAACUUACUUGGGUUCACUUUUCGGAGAUAUCAUUGAGAACCCUUGUGUAUCCACUUUUUCCAUUGUAUAAGCUGUGGCACAUCUUCAUUCUGGCCUAUACCUGACGUGCUAUGAGAAAAGCUAUG